rnacentral:rRNA from 1 species
UACGGAGGAUCCGAGCGUUAUCUGGAUUUAUUGGGUUUAAAGGGUGCGUAGGUGGAUUGGUAAGUCAGUGGUGAAAGUUUGCAGCUUAACUGUAAAAUUGCCGUUGAAACUGCCGGUCUUGAGUGCAAAUGAGGUAGGCGGAAUGCGUCGUGUAGCGGUGAAAUGCUUAGAUAUGACGCAGAACUCCGAUUGCGAAGGCAGCUUACUGGGAUGCAACUGACGCUGAGGCACGAAAGCGUGGGUAUCAAACAGGAUUAGA